rnacentral:rRNA from 1 species
CCUACGGGUGACAGCAGUGAGGAAUAUUGGUCAAUGGCCGGAAGGCUGAACCAGCCAUGCCGCGUGAAGGGCAGGGGCCUAGGGGCGUUAAAGUUCUUUUGUGCGGGAGCAAGAAUGGGCACGGGGGGCCAGACGAGAGUACCGUACGAAUAAGCAGCGGCUAACUCCGUGCCAGCAGCCGCGGGAAUACGGGGGAUGCAAGGGUUAUCCGGCUUUCUUGGGUGUAAAGGGGGCGGAGGCUGUGAGGUAAGGCAGCGGGGAAAUGCCCCCGCUCAACGGGGGGAAGUGCCAUUCAUACUGCCUUGCUGGACUGCGGCUGCCGUGGUCGGAAUGUGUGUUGUAGCGGU